GCUGGGUGUGAUGGUGCAUGCCUGUAGUCCAAGCUACUCAGGAGGCUGAGACAGGAGGAUCACUUGAGCCCGGGAGUUUGAGGCUGCAGUGAGCUAUGAUUGCACCACUGCAUUCCAGCCUGGGCAACAGAGGGAGAGCCUGUCUCUA
ensembl:misc_RNA Metazoa_SRP Metazoan signal recognition particle RNA